rnacentral:rRNA from 1 species
GACGGAGGAUGCAAGUGUUAUCCGGAAUCACUGGGCGUAAAGCGUCUGUAGGUGGUCAAAUAAGUCAACUGUUAAAUCUUGAGGCUCAACCUCAAAAUCGCAGUCGAAACUAUUCGACUAGAGUAUAGUAGGGGUAAAGGGAAUUUCCAGUGGAGCGGUGAAAUGCGUAGAGAUUGGAAAGAACACCAAUGGCGAAAGCACUUUACUGGGCUACCACUGACACUGAGAGACGAAAGCUAGGGUAGCAAAUGGG